rnacentral:rRNA from 1 species
CUGCGAAUGGCUCGGUAAAUCAGUUAUAGUUUAUUUGAUAGUGCAGCCUACUCGGAUAACCGUAGUAACACUAGAGCUAAUACGUGCGUAAAUCCCGACUUUUUGAAGGGACGUAUUUAUUAGAUUUAUGGCCAGCCGGGCUUGCCCGACCAGCGGUGAAUCAUGGUAACUUGACGGAUUGCAUGGCCUUUGUGCCGGCGACGUGUCAUUCAAGUUUCUGCCCCAUCAGGUUUCGACUGUAGUGUAUUGGACUACAGUGCCUAUAACGGGUAGCGGAGGAUUAGGGUUCGAUUCCGGAGAGGGAGCC